AUUGACUAACUUAGAAUGUUAAAAAGUGUUUGUGCAUGUGUUAUUCAUGGAAAUAUUGGUCGGCCCAAAGAAAGGUCAAUAUUUAGCCGAAUACAUGUGCACAUGUGGUGAUAAAAGUGUGACGAUUAUUUGGUUUAAUGUGUGAUCAAUAAAUCGGUCCAAAGAAAGGUUUAUUGAUUGACACGUUGUUUUAUCGUCAAUGUUUGAUCACUAUGCCAAGAGUACCGCUUACAAGUCAAUAUCUCUGUCCAAAGACUGGAUAUUGAUGUUGUGCUUGGUAUCUUGUGAUGGGCCCUACCACUAUUUGAGAUUAUUAUUAUUAUUAUUUGCAUAUUAAAGAUAUUCAUGUGAGCUAUUC
rnacentral:lncRNA from 1 species